UACGUAGGUGACCAGCGUUGUCCGGAUUUACUGGGCGUAAAGAGCGCGCAGGCGGUCGUUCAAGUCGAGUGUGAAAGCCCCCGGCUCAACUGGGGAGGGUCACUUGAUACUGAUCGACUCGAAGGCAGGAGAGGGAAGCGGAAUUCCCGGUGUAGUGGUGAAAUGCGUAGAUAUCGGGAGGAACACCAGUGGCGAAGGCGGCUUCCUGGCCUGUUCUUGACGCUGAGGCACGAAAGCGUGGGGAGCAAACAGG
rnacentral:rRNA from 1 species